UGAACGCUGGCGGCGUGCCUAAUACAUGCAAUUCGAGCGAACAGACGAGGAGCUUGCUCCUCUGACGUUAGCGGCGGACGGGUGAGUAACACGUGGAUAACCUACCUAUAAGACUGGGAUAACUUCGGGAAACCGGAGCUAAUACCGGAUAAUAUAUUGAACCGCAUGGUUCAAUAGUGAAAGACGGUUUUGCUGUCACUUAUAGAUGGAUCCGCGCCGCAUUAGCUAGUUGGUAAGGUAACGGCUUACCAAGGCAACGAUGCGUAGCCGACCUGAGAGGGUGAUCGGCCACACUGGAACUGAGACACGGUCCAGACUCCUACGGGAGGCAGCAGUAGGGAAUCUUCCGCAAUGGGCGAAAGCCUGACGGAGCAACGCCGCGUGAGUGAUGAAGGUCUUCGGAUCGUAAAACUCUGUUAUUAGGGAAGAACAAAUGUGUAAGUAACUAUGCACGUCUUGACGGUACCUAAUCAGAAAGCCACGGCUAACUACGUG
rnacentral:rRNA from 1 species